rnacentral:lncRNA from 1 species
CUUCUAGAGAUGCGAUCAUUCCUGGGACGAUAGAGCAAAGAAAGGCAAUUCUUAGUGUUAGAUAAAAAGCUAUCCCGUUAGUAUCCUACAAGGAACUACUUUUUUAAGGUCUAGCCAACUUCGAAUACUUUCUGUUAGUAUCCUACUGUACCAUGUUUUAGGUACCCCGCUCAGUGUUAGAUAAAAAGCUUUGUAUUUUACUACAGGUAAUGCUCCUUUUAGACUUAUGUGGUCUAUAGUUGUUGAAAUGUUCCGCAGGAUCGCCUUUCCCUUCGUACUUGGAAGUUUUCGGAUCUAUGAAAUGAUUGGGCAUUGGGGUAUCCAUUAAAGGUUAUGAGAAAGAUAGAUUGUCAUCAUCAUCAUCAUCAUCUGGGUUGCAUAAUCUUUGAGGUCCUUUCGAAUCGUCAUCCUCAUAUGCUUGAUAUCGAGAUGGCUAGGAUGAGACUGCAUGGUUUUUCUAAUUUUGUUCAUCCAUUUUCUCUUACCUAUUUCUAGGUGGAGGGCUUGCCCUUGGUCUUGUAUAUACUCAUCUGGCCUAUAUACAAGAAAGGCCUGCAACCUAUUUCUAGGCUCCAGUGAUGGUUGAAGUGACCUAUUUUUUGGGUUUUUCUAAAGGACUGAUCUGAUCAAAUACACUGGUGGUUCGUUAGGGCCUUUAUUUGUACUCAGGGGAAAAAUGGAACUGAUUUUCCCUAGGUUGAUCUGAAGCAUAGCUGGUUGAAAUAUUUGCACCCACUUUUCUUUCCAUGUGGCUUCCAUCCCCAGCAUAAUAAUGGGAAGAGGCUUACUGAGUUUGUACCUCAUCUUCCUCCUGAAGAAAGAGGGUCUCUUGGAAAACAUACGGAGGGUGCUUGGUAACUAGUUUGGCUCUGCACGUUCAUCCAAAGUAGAGCAUAACAGCGUUUGUUUAAGUGUUAUUUCUCUUGUUUACGGCCAUAGUGUCCACUUCCUGGUGAGCUAAGUUGCAAUCCUUGACCCACAUCAUAUAUGAUGGUGGUGAGAUCAACGAUGGUAGGUGGUCCUUCUAGGGACUCCUCCUAGGAAGCAUUUUUGCCACUUGGGGGUUCAUGGUGAGUUGGUUUCUUUUCUUCAAAGAUAGCUCGCUUAAGGUGGAUUUUAUCACAAUACAAGGGUAUUUUCACAUAUUAAAGGAAUUUUCUUUUCUGGGGCCUCCAUUUGAUCCUUUCUAAGGGACAAAAUCUUUUUCAAGGGGGAAGCCUACACUUUUCUGAUCUUUUUUCCACAAGGAUUUAUGUGGAUAUAAUAUGAUUAUUCACAGACGACGCUAAUAUGUUGACCUCGACGUGGCCAACAGAUUCUAGAUAAAUCAACGUCCUCGUGAGCUUACAUACUACACACUAAAGUAAAUCGUUAGGGUCUAAGACCAAACUCCUCUGGUGGGGGAGGUGGUCAUAGACACUCCGACGAUCAAGUCAGUAUGAAGGAAAAAUCUUUAUGUACAAGACAAACUAUAUAACUGGCUUGGAACUGGGUGUUUGAUAAAGGAUAACAAUAAAUAUAAUAGCUUUUGAAAGUUUAAACUCACAUUAUUCUUGUAAUGAUAUAAAGUUUGGGCUUUUAUUAUGGAGGAUAACAAAUAUGAGCCAUCCAAUAUACAUACAUGUGUCUGUCUCCAUCCUCACGGUGGAGCUCUCAUCGAAUGUCAAUCUAUCAUUUCAAAGCCAUGUUGCAUUGAAUACUAUGGUAUGCUGUAUUGAGUGCUGUGGUGGUGUUGCCGGCCUAUGUCUAACAUGUAAGAUUGGACUUGAGUAUUUUGAUUUGAAUGAAUCUGUUUAUUUAGUGAGUUGACAAAUCAUUCACUUGCAACAAGGUUAUGUAAAGAUUCUUUAUCAGGUAUGUAGAUCGCUUCAAUGAAAGUGGUUUUGGUCAUCUCAUGGGUUCAGACAUUUGAUGGCUCGACAUGCAUGGGUUCAGACAAUUAUCUCGUCUUCCUUUUACGUCCGCCAUGUGGUUUAACGAGCUUCUUCACAUGGUUUUGGGCGAAGCCUCGUUGUCGAGGCGUAACAGGUCUAAUUUGGAUUUUACAUGUUCUCCUGUUCUGAUUUUGUACAUUCAUUUUGUAAUUUAUUAAUUGUGACAUUUUGCUUCCUGCCUUCCUCAAUUCUUCUAAAUUAUUGUGUAUUUGUGUUUGAUGG